AACAUAUCCAACCCAGCUUCCUCCUUCUACUUUCCCCACGAGACAACUGAUCAGAAAAAGCCACUUGCCUAAAAUGAUCUAGGGUCUCCUGCUUGAGCAGGGGUUGGACUAGAAGACCUCCGAGGUCCCUGGCUUUCAAAGUUAAGGCAGGAUUUGAACUCACAAUCUCCCGCUGAUUGAUAGAAAAGGGGAAGACUUGAUGAAAAGUGGAAAUUAAAGGCUUAUAUUGAGGCCAUGGCUGCAGCAGAUUACCUUUUUAUAAAGGGGAAAAUAGAUAUUUUAAAAUCUUUUCUCCCCGCCCCCAGAUAUUCCGCAUACUAGGCUUUGGUUCCAUCUACUAUAUUGUUUUCUCCCUUUCCCUUACGUCUUCUCUGAUUGGAUGAGAUCAGGCGCAGAUGCCCGCCCCUCUAACUUCCUUCUCUUUUGAUUGGUUAGGAAACUAGGCGCGAGUUUUGAUGGCUCCCUUCGAGCGAUCGCGACUGCUGACGUCAUGCUCCUGCUACCCAAUGAGGGCCCAUUGGACUGGCUCUUGUUGAUUGGCGGAGAGAGAGAGUGAACCCGGGGAAAAAAAAACUACCCGCGACCUACUGCUCCUGGCGUGUGUCUCGCGUGCUUUCUUUUUUGGGGGAGCCUUCGAGUGGCUCGGAAGAAAUUCAGGUGUAACUGAUCAUGGCAUCAACGGAGCGGGACAAAGAGAAGAAAACAGACUCAAAUGCCCAGUUUCAGGCCACCAUAGGUGAGGAAGGGAGGGGAACCUGCCAAACCUGCAAACAUGAAAUGCGUCUGUAUCCAUCUGACCCUCAGCAGCACAUGGCCAGCAAUGCCCCUGAGAGCACCAUAGAGUCUUCUGGGUCCCAGACGGGUGAAGAACAUAGAAUUUCAGAGGAUUGUGGUCUUGCAAACACUAUAUUCAAGAAGACAAGAGCCAAUGGCGGGAUGAAGCUCCCGAAGGCCUACCAGGGUGGGAAACAUCGGAGCGUGAGGCCCUCAGCGAUGAGCUCAGUGAUGUCCUCAUUUAUCUGGUUGCGUUGGCAAACAAGUUCCACGUGGACCUCCCUACGGCUGCUCUCCGUAAAAUAGAGAAGAACCACCUUAAAUACCCAGCCAAGCGUGUCUCUGGUUCCUCAAAGAAAUACACAGAGUAUCAGGAAUAAGUAUGGAACUUAUCUCUUCCUGGAUGGAUGAGAAGAAAAAUCACUCCCUGGCUUCUAGAAGAUGCUCUUUUCAAGAUUUAGGACUUCUUUGGGAUGAACAGUUCAAAAUGACCCCUGAUUGACUCUUGACUUUGUGGGGUGGAUCCAGCAAGCUCUGAUAGGCAAACAGACCUGUUGUGGCAAUCUCUGCUUUUUUUGUUCAUUUAUCGUUUCUUUUCUUUCGCAAAGGAGAUUGGGCCACCCAGGAAAUGUUAGGCUUCAAUUCCAUCACCCUGAGACCAUGUUGGCUAAGGGUCAUUGGAGUUGAUGUCCAGCCACAGUUGAAAGGCUGCAGGUUCUCCAUCCCAAACUUCAAGAGUUGCAGAUGGAUGCACAGUUGUGCAGAGGAAACUCUCACAUCGGUCAUUUACAGAGAAACAUGUCCCCUUCCUUGUGGAGGUGUAUCCAUCAUAAAAGUGCAAGGAGCUUUUCAUAAACUCUGCUUUCUUAGUGAGGCCAGAUUCUUCUCUCCAACUCGUGGCUGUGGUUUAGUUUACGGUAGUUUUUAAAGAAAAAUAGGUGGCCACCAUUUUGACCUGAGUAAUUGACGAUUUCUUCCUGUCUGCACAUUCUUUCCAAUAGGAUUACCCUCCUCAAGGUGUAGAUUACGCCUCAUUUGGUAUUCCCUUUGAGUCUUAAAAACAGGGGGCAUUUUUGAGGGGGAAAAUGGCGAGAGGCUGAAGAAUGAAGUGGCUACAUUACAAGGCUACUGUUGUAAAAUAAUAAAAUUUCAAGGCUUUGCCAAAUACACCU